rfam:Oryza sativa Japonica Group DNA, chromosome 10, cultivar: Nipponbare, complete sequence.
AAAAAGGCAAACCCUGGGUUUCCGUGUCCAACUUUGACUGUCCAUCUUAUGUGAAAUUUUUUUAUAAUUCGUAUUUUCAUUGUUGUUAGAUGAUAAAACAUGAUUAAUAUUUUAUGCGUGACUUGUCUUUUUAAUUUUUUUCAAAUAAGACGGACGGUCAAACGUUGGGCACGGAAACCAGGGUUUGUCUUUUU